AUUGAACGCUGGCGGCAGGCCUAACACAUGCAAGUCGAGCGAGCGACGGACGGGUGAGGAAUGUAUGGGGACUGCCCGAUAGAUGGGGAUAACUACUGGAAAAGGUAUGUAAUACCGCAUACUAUCCGAUACCCCAUAUGGGAUUAGCUAGUAGGGGAGGUAAUGGCUCACCUAGGCGACGAUCCCUAGCCGGUCUGAGAGGAUGAUCAGCCACACUGGGACUGAGACACGGCCCAGACUCCUACGGAGGCAGCAGUGGGGAAUAUUGCACAAUGGGCGCAAGCCUGACGCAGCAAUGCCGCGUGUAUGAAGAAGGCCCUAGGGUUGUAAAGUACUUUCAGUCGGGAGGCGUUACCGACAGAAGAAGCACCGGCUAACUACGUGCCAGCAGCCGCGGUAAUUC
rnacentral:rRNA from 1 species